rnacentral:ncRNA from 2 species
CACGACCCAGCCCCACCGCGUCCCGACGGGAGAAUCUGGGAAGCCGGUGAGACUCCGGCACAGGCCCGCUGCGGUGACCCGGGACGCGUCGCGAGACGUGGACCCGGGAAGUCCGAAGACCGGCCUCGCGCCACUUUUUCCU